AAGCGUCACCCCGCUAAACCUAAUUAUCGUCUCCGUUCAUCCGAGUCUGAUCUCGGCGGCGAGAAUGACGAUCCAUGUUCUCCUUCUCCCUGUAACGGACUUGACUUUAAUGGCAUCAAUGCGUCCGUCGAGAUCUCCGUUAUAAAUAGGUUUUUUUCUGAUUUGAAGACCAGGAAGUGUUCAAACGUUAAGCGGGGUGGAUAUUGCGGCUUCAUCUAAUCUCUUUGCAAUCUAAUCGCGUCUUCACACAGCUUCUUCCCCGUUUAUCUCCGCACCAAACAGGAAUUGAGUUUUUAUCCUCGCCAAAUCAUGCCCAGACAAUCAGAGCUUCGGUUCGAACGAUUCCAAUUCUUCACUGGAGACAAACCAACGAAACCCAGGGCUUCAGCAAUCGAUGUCAAGGAGACAGUGAAUGAUGACAUGUGUGUGCUUAUCUCCAGCUUUAAUUACCAAUGCCUACACUUUGGUCUCUGUACAAAACGCAGAUGCUUUAGACAAGAAACCAUGAGUUUGCCGUAACUGCCAGGGCAUUGGUACUGUUCUUUGUGAUAUGUGCGGGGGGUACAUGAAAAUGGAAAGCUCCCAACCGAAAACGAGCCAAAGAUAGGUUUGAGUUUAUAGAAUGUCCGAACUGUUAAGGUGGAGGGUUUUCCCGGUCUGUUUAGGUAGAAGGUGGUGCCGUACAAUGUACAAUGGUUGUCUUCUUCCCAAUUCUUGAGCAGGUAUAUAGUACAUGUCCUCAUUUCAUCUCCACAUAAAGAUAAUUGGUCUGUUUUGACUGGGAAAAAUGUGUUACUUUUUCUCUCAGCACAAUGGCAAUAGUUAUGAUUAUAGAAGAGGAAGAAAAGUAAUACAUUCAUGUGAAGCUAUAGAUGAAUGGGAUGCUAGAACAUGUUUUGUAAUGCUGCUAGAAAUGUGUUGUUAAUUCUUUACAAACCGAAGAGUUUUCUUCUUCCUUAGACAGUCUUGACGACUCAAUUUCACAUUCCCUACAUCGAUGACAA